UUCCAAAUAUGUCUCUCUUGUUCCAACCUGUGUGUACCUGACUUAAGGGCAGGGAUUCUGCCUCUGGCACUUAGUGCAGUACGAUGCACAUAGUGAGAGACCAGGAAAUUCAGCAACAGAAUCACUGACAGAACAGGUCUAGAAGGAGAUCAUCACAAACUAAACAAGACUCCAGUGGCCAUGAAUAGCAGAAUGAGAAAACUGAGGCCCAGAGAGUUCAAGUAAUUGCCCAUUGUCAUCUAACUAACCUGCUUAACUGCUGCCUGAAACAUAUUCAAAGAGCUGAAAGUACAGAAGAGUUCUAGCCUAAAGCCCAACAGUAACCAUGGAGAGUUCAGCAACCAACUCAUCAGCCCUGUCAGAGUCCAUCAAAGAUGAGAUGUCUUCCAGUUGUGGUGAGGUUCAUGAUUGUCUUGAAAACCAAAACACAGCAAAAAAACAAAGACCACAGAGAGAAGUAUGGCAGCUGAGCAAGCUGUGAACUGUUCCUGUUCAGAAACCUCCUGCAGGUUAACCAGAGUUGGAGCCUAAUUCCAUCUCUUAUAAA